GACGAACGCUGGCGGCGUGCUUAACACAUGCAAGUCGAACGGAAAGGCCCUGCUUUUGUGGGGUGCUCGAGUGGCGAACGGGUGAGUAACACGUGAGUAACCUGCCCUUGACUUUGGGAUAACUUCAGGAAACUGGGGCUAAUACCGGAUAGGAGCUCCUGCUGCAUGGUGGGGGUUGGAAAGUUUCGGCGGUUGGGGAUGGACUCGCGGCUUAUCAGCUUGUUGGUGGGGUAGUGGCUUACCAAGGCUUUGACGGGUAGCCGGCCUGAGAGGGUGACCGGCCACAUUGGGACUGAGAUACGGCCCAGACUCCUACGGGAGGCAGCAGUGGGGAAUAUUGCACAAUGGGCGGAAGCCUGAUGCAGCAACGCCGCGUGCGGGAUGACGGCCUUCGGGUUGUAAACCGCUUUCGCCUGUGACGAAGCGUGAGUGAUGGUAAUGGGUAAAGAAGCACCGGCUAACUACGCG
rnacentral:rRNA from 1 species